AUUGAACGCUGGCGGCAGGCCUAACACAUGCAAGUCGAGCGAGCGUCGGACGGGUGUGUAAUGUAUGGGGACUGCCCGAUAGAGGGGGAUAACUAUUGGAAACGGUAGCUCUUAUCGCACAUUCUCGCAUUACCCACAUGGGAUUAGCUCGUAGGUGGGGUAAUGGCUCACCUAGGCGACGAUCCCUAGCUGGUCUGAGAGGAUGAUCAGCCACACUGGGACUGAGACACGGCCCAGACUCCUACGGAGGCAGCAGUGGGGAAUAUUGCACAAUGGGCGCAAGCCUGAUGCAGCCAUGCCGCGUGUAUGAAGAAGGCCUUAGGGUUGUAAAGUACUUUCAGUCGGGAGGCGUUACCGACAGAAGAAGCACCGGCUAACUCCGUGCCAGCAGCCGCGGUAAUAC
rnacentral:rRNA from 1 species